GCGCCAUUAGCUCAGCUGGAAGAGCACUUGACUUUUAAUCAAGGUGUCGUGGGUUCGAUUCCCAUAUGGCACA
rnacentral:tRNA from 1 species